rnacentral:rRNA from 1 species
CCCUUAGAUGUCCUGGGCCGCACGCGUGCUACACUGACACUUACACCGAGUUUUUCCAAUGCCGAAAGGCCAUUGGUAAUCAGCAAUAGGCGUCGUGAUGGGGAUAGAUCUUUGGAAUUAUGGAUCUUGAACGAGGAAUGCCUAGUAAGCGCAGGUCAUUAGCCUGCGCUGAUUAAGUCCCUGCCCUUUGUACACACCGCCCGUCGCUCCUACCGAUUUCGAGUGGUCCGGUGAAUCUUUCGGACUGCGCGCGGCCUCGUGCCGUGUCGCGGAAAGUCAGGUAAACCUUAUCACUUAGAGGAAGGAGAAGUCGUAACA